AUGAGUUCGAAGAAGGUUCCGUUCAAUCGGCAUAAGGAGAACGAGGAGGCGAGGAAGAAGAGGGAGGAAGAUGAAGCGGCGCGUGUGUACGCGGAGUUUGUCAAGUCAUUCGAGGGUGAAAGCGCAUCUGGGUCAAAGUUUGUCCGAGGGGGUGUUAUCGACCCCAAUGCCAAGCUGAGAGCUGAUUCUGAAGGUGGAAAUUCCAAAGAUAGGGGGUCUGUUCCAAAGAAGGGCAGUAGGUAUGUUCCAUCUUUUGUGCCACCCUCAUUUGGGAGAGAACCGGAGAAAAAGAUGGAAGAUGAGCGGCCAAAGGAAAAGGAAAGAGGAAAGCCACGGGCAAUAGACACUGUCAUGGAGGAAUUGAAGCUGGAGAAAGAGCUUCGAGAAAGGCGUAAUCAAGAACGUGCCAGUCGACAUGGUGACACCUCCGUGCCCUCUAGCCGUUUUGAUGAACUACCAGAUGAAUUUGAUCCCACUGGGAGACUGCCAGGAUCAUUUGAUGAUGGAGAUCCGCAAACCACAAAUUUAUAUGUUGGCAAUCUCUCUCCUAAGGUGGAUGAGAAUUUUCUUCUGCGGACAUUUGGUCGGUUUGGACCUAUUGCAAGCGUCAAGAUCAUGUGGCCUCGAACAGAAGAAGAACGCAAAAGGCAAAGGCAUUGUGGCUUUGUUGCAUUCAUGAAUAGAGCAGAAGGACAGGCAGCCAAGGAUGAAAUGCAAGGUGUUGUUGUGUAUGACUAUGAGCUGAAGAUUGGGUGGGGAAAAUCUGUUGCUCUUCCAUCACAAGCACUACCUGCUCCUCCUCCAGGGCACAUGGCUAUCAGAAACAAGGAGGGUGGUACUGUCAUCAUAUCUGGUCCUGGAGGUCCACCUGUUGCAUCUGUUACACAGCAAACCUCAGAGCUGGUGCUUACUCCAAAUGUUCCUGAUAUAAUGGUUGCUCCGCCAGAUGAUUCACAUCUUCGGCAUGUGAUUGAUACAAUGGCCCUGCAUGUACUUGAUGGCGGAUGUGCUUUUGAACAAGCUAUAAUGGAACGAGGACGAGGAAAAGCAUUAUUUAACUUCUUGUUUGAUCUUAAAUCUAAAGAACACACAUACUAUGUUUGGCGGUUAUACUCAUUCGCUCAGGGCGAUACUUUACAACGAUGGCGAACAGAACCAUUUAUCAUGAUUACAGGAAGUGGAAGAUGGGUUCCACCUGCUUUGCCAUCCAGCCGAAGUCCUGAUCGUGAAAAAGAAUCUACUUUUGCAGCUGGUAGAACCAGGCGUGUUGAAGUGGAGCGCACAUUGACCGAGACACAACGUGAUGAAUUUGAGGACAUGCUGCGUGCAUUGACAUUAGAGAGAAGUCAGAUAAGGGAGGCUAUGGGAUUUGCAUUGGAUAAUGCUGAUGCUGCUGGAGAGAUUGUCGAGGUUCUUGUAGAAUCUUUGACACUCAAGGAGACACCUAUCCCAACUAAGGUUGCACGGCUUAUGCUAGUGUCCGACAUCCUUCAUAACAGUAGUGCUCCUGUGAAGAACGCCUCUGCAUUUCGAACCAAGUUUGAGACUGCUAUACCUGAUGUCAUGGAGAGCUUCAAUGACUUGUAUUGCAGUAUCACAGGAAGGAUUACUGCUGAAGCUCUGAAGGAGAGGGUUUUGAAAGUUCUACAAGUAUGGGCAGACUGGUUCCUGUUUUCUGAUGCAUAUCUGAAUGGGCUAAAAGCUACCUUUCUUAGACCAGGCAACUCUGGGGUCACCUCGUUCCACUCUCUAUGUGGUGAUGCACCAGAAAUUGAAAAGAAAACUAGCUCUGAGGAUAAUAAUGGGUUUAGGCUUGAUGAAGAUGGUGCCCUGGCCACAGGAAAGGCAGCGGCGACGAAGGAGCUGUUGAGUCUUCCACUUGCUGAACUUGAACGUCGUUGUAGGCAUAAUGGCCUCUCACUUUGCGGUGGUAAAGAGACGAUGGUUGCCAGAUUGCUCAGCUUGGAAGAGGCUGAGAAGGAGCAAGUAUAUCAGAAAGACGUUGCCAUGAAAUAUGUACAAGGCGAACCGCAUAGAGCUGGAAGAGAGGAUGUUGGUUUGAACGCUCGUAGGCUUGGAGAUGGUACUGGUGACAGUGAAUCAGAUAUGCUGGGGCUCUCUCGUCACAGUAUGCAAACAGGCCAAAGACGCUCUAGAGAGUGCGUAUCUCCUGAACCUGAACAAGUUUCAAGCAAGAAGCAGAAAGCUGAUCCUGUUUUGCCAGCUUCUAAAUGGAACCGAGAGGACAACGACAAUGAUGAAGAUAGAAUAAACGGUCAAGGAUUGGGAUUAAGCUAUUCAUCUGGAAGUGAUAUUGCUGGUGAUUCUGGGAAAGUGGACACAACCGAAAUUAGUACCGAUCAGGCAAUUCACCAUCCAGAUACAAUUGUGGAUGAAGAGCAUAGUAGCAACUCCUUUUUGAUCUACAGGCAGAAGCUAAGGCAGAUUGAGAUUGCUGUAAUGCAGUAUCGUGAAUCUCUAGAGGAGAAGGGGUUGCAUAGCAUGGAGGAGAUCGAGAGGAAGGUUGCCAGCCACCGUAGGCGCCUUCAAUCAGACUAUGGUUUGUCUUCAAUAGAUGGUGCAAACAACAGGUGGUCUUCUGAGAGACUAUCAUUGGAACGGAGAGAAAGGGCGGAUGAUGCACGUGAUUCUUCCAGGAAGCGGCCUCGCAGCCGGAGCAGGAGCCGUAGUCCUUCAAGGAAGUCAUCACUGGAUAGAGACCGAGAGUACAAUCGCAGCAGAGGCAGAUUGCAUGGCAAUGAUGCCGGGAGAGACAGGGCGCGCGAAAAAAGCUCAGGCCGAGGGAAGGAUGAUCACCACGAUAGGAGCAGCAGAGACCGGGAAAAGGACAGGAGAACCGGAAGGUGA
rnacentral:rRNA from 1 species